rnacentral:rRNA from 1 species
UACAGAGGUCUCAAGCGUUGUUCGGAUUCAUUGGGCGUAAAGGGUGCGUAGGUGGCGCUGUAAGUCGGGUGUGAAAUUUCGGAGCUUAACUCCGAAACUGCAUUCGAUACUGCGGUGCUUGAGGACUGGAGAGGAGACUGGAAUUCAUGGUGUAGCAAUGAAAUGCGCAGAGAUCAUGAGGAAGACCAGUGGCGAAGGCGGGUCUCUGGACAGUUCCUGACACUGAGGCACGAAGGCCAGGGGAGCAAACGGG